rnacentral:rRNA from 1 species
GACGAACGCUGGCGGCGUGCCUAAUACAUGCAAGUAGAACGCACAGUUUAUACCGUAGCUUGCUACACCAUAAACUGUGAGUUGCGAACGGGUGAGUAACGCGUAGGUACCCUGCCUGGUAGCGGGGGAUAACUAUUGGAAACGAUAGCUAAUACCGCAUAAUAUUGAUUAUUGCAUGAUAAUUGAUUGAAAGAUGCUAUUGCAUCACUACCAGAUGGACCUGCGUUGUAUUAGCUAGUAGGUGAGGUAACGGCUCACCUAGGCGACGAUACAUAGCCGACCUGAGAGGGUGAUCGGCCACACUGGGACUGAGACACGGCCCAGACUCCUACGGGAGGCAGCAGUAGGGAAUCUUCGGCAAUGGACGAAAGUCUGACCGAGCAACGCCGCGUGAGUGAAGAAGGUUUUCGGAUCGUAAAGCUCUGUUGUAAGAGAAGAACGGGUGUGAGAGUGGAAAGUUCACACUGUGACGGUAUCUGACCAGAAAGGGACGGCUAACUACGUG